GCAGACUUAGUAGGCCGAGGACUGGGGGCGUCAGAGCCCGAGCCCCGGAGACUCAGAUUCGAGAGGGGUCAUCGGCUCCAUGCCAGGUCAAGUUCAGUCUACACUGGCCUCAGCUUAUGGGUGUGGGAGUUAGCAAAAGGAAGCCCCGACCCGCCUGCCGCUUUCUUUUCCACCACGUUCGCAUCCUAGCCCCUUCCCAAAUAGCUUGUCACUGGUAGAAAUGAUUCUAUUCACUCCCGCUUCAAUCAGCUGCCAAAGCUGUCUGAAAUCUAGACCCUAGAUCUGCCCGUUCCAGCCUGUAGACCUCAUUCACUCUUCUGUUGAGCUGGACUUUAAAAAAUGGAUGGAAUUUCAUCACGGAGAGAGUGGAAAUUGAUGACAGAGGAUCUUCUGAGGAAAAGAAAAGACAGAAUAAAAGUCUCUAGAAUGAGGUAAAGGAACCAUGUGCUAUUUUGGGAAAGAUCUCUGACUUUCUCAAAAAUGAGAUGUCCCUUUGGCUGGUGAUUUUAGAAUAGUUAGAGAGACAUAGAUCUCAAGCCAGAUGAGCAAGAAUGAUAGCUUUUGAAUGAAAGCACGUCAGAGAUGGGGGGUGAUCUUAUAGGGGUUUGCCGUUUGUUUUGACUUUGAUCCAGAUGUAGCCAUUGCAGAGUUUUGAUCAAAGGAAUGACAUAAUAUGCUUUGUGCUUAAUGGAAUGCGUUACGCUUCUGCUCUGCGGACAGCAGACUAAGUGGACCUGAGGUAGUAAUCACUGAAGCUUUUUUACCAAAUCAGAUGAGGAUGAUUGUAGCUGUAACGAGAACCGCGUGAGGCAUGCUGGGCAUGCUUAUGUGAAAGAGAGAAUACCAGCAUUCCUGGCAAAUGAGACAAAAGAGAAGAGGGACAGAAAAGAGCAGGGAGGAUCGUACACCUAACAAACAGCAAAAGCAGCAGGAAUGUUGAAAUAGGAGAGAGGGAAAGUGCAUGGAUGCAACUACGCAACGGCUCUGAGUUCUCUGUUUUCGUCUUGUUAGGGUUGCAGAGUAGUCAGUUUUAUGCAUGCAUCCAGAUUUCAUAGGAACAGUCCCGUCCAGAAACACAAAGUUGAGAACCCUCAGUUUGUGAAUAGCAUUUAAAAAUCAGGAGGUAAGAUGGAAGAGAUACCCUGGGAUUCUAGUUGAUACCUAACAAUUCUAGAAAUUAGAAAAAAAAUGUUGUAAUUAAGAACAUGGGAAAAGUUAAUGUCUAUAAUACACGGCAAACAAAAAUUUUAGAAUGAGUUCAAGAUUUGGGAAAUCAAGACUCACUAGGUUUUCUCCAGCUUUGAUACAUACACAGUUUCUAUUCCUGCGACUUUUCUCUUUUUCCUGAAUAGAUUCUUAGUGGAGAUGGCUUCUUGGACAUGAAUUAGGAAAACAAUGCUCAAAGAUAUUGCUUUACAUCUGAAGGUGCUCAUUACAUUAGGCCUCACUUUAAUUUAAUUUUAAUACAGGGAAGUUUUUUUUUUUUUUUUUUUUUUU